UAGGCUAUGCAUCGUCAAAUCUUUUAUUUAAAAAAAAAAGAAGCUACUCCACUGGAAGUGUUGCUGCGACCUGCCGCUGCCAGGAUUUGCGUUUGCUUUCUAGCGCUAAUUGAUCCCCUAUCAUAGCACAAUCUGCAGUUGUGUAAGAGGAAGUUGCUCAGCUGAAUUUGUGAGAAAAUCGAGCCGAGAGAUCUCAUAAAGGCAAGUGUCUCACAACGGGCAGCUAAGCAUUUAUAUGUUAUAGGUUUGGUAUUUGUUCACAGGCUAUGCAGUUUGUAGGAUGGUUUGUAUUUAUUUGUGAAAUAAAAUUAUAUUUGUAAAACACAAUACAUUUGUUACUCCUCUGCGUUCUCGCUCAAACAUGCCUUUGUAUUUGCACAUUGCUUUCUGUUUGUUUGCGAGCCGAGUUUUCCCUUUGCAAAGCAGAUUGAGUUUGUUUGCGAUAGCCACCGUUUCUGUUUAAAAGACGUUUUGCAAGGUUUUGUCGGGGCUAAACGCAGCCCUGCCCUUAGAAGGAAGAAGGACAAAGCAGGUGAGUUUGUUUCACAUUCCCGUCUAGCUGGUUUAACAAACUUUGACUAGAAUUUGCACGGCGCGAGCAACAGUUGUGAAAGAUCACACAGGUGUGUUUAACAGCUAUCACAAAUCGAACUAUUUUCAAAGACUUCAGGAUUCUGUUCCUGGUGCUCAAGACCAUCUGAACUACUGCAAUUUCAGGAGAGUCUCCAGCUAAAGAUCCAGAUGAGCUUCAUGUGAUUCCUGAGAGGAAAGACCAGAUCCGGCUGGUUCUGCUGGGAAAAACUGGAUGUGGGAAAAGUGCCACUGGAAACACCAUCAUCGGCAGAAACGUGUUUCAAUCCUCCAUCAGUUCAAAGUCUCAGACGAAACAUUGUCAGUCAGAAACUACAGUGAGGUUUGGUAAAGAGAUCUCAGUCAUCGACUCACCUGGACUUUAUGAUACUGAACUCAAUGGAGAACAGAUUAAAUCUGAAAUAGUGAAAUGCAUAACAUAUGCUUCUCCUGGACCACAUGCUUUUAUUAUCAUCAUUAGAGUGGGUCGAUUCACUGAGGAGGAGAAAAAUACAGUGCAACAUCUCAAAGUAGUGUUUGGAGAACAGAUACUAAAAUACACCAUGAUCAUCUUCACUUACAAAGAUCAGUUAGAGAAGCAAAAUAAAACCAUUGAGCAGUAUCUAGAGGAAGGUGAUCCAGAUCUCAAAAAGCUUGUAGAGAGUUGUGGAAACCGAUUCUCCUGUCUGGACAAUGAGUCUGUCAGUUCCCCACAGUUCAAAGAUCUGAUCAGUAAAAUAGAGACGAUGAUGGAAGAGAACGGAGGGACGCACUUUACAAGUGACAUGUUUGAUGAAGCAGAGAAACACAUUCAAGAGAUUCAGAAGAACAAACUGGAUGAGAAAAUGAAGCAGUACAAACAGGAGCACAAAUGCCUCACUAAAACCGAAUGGAAGAAAAUAUACUGGCGUUUAGUUGAGGAGUCACGACGAGACGCUGAGCAAUCUUUUUCUGAUAGAAAUCUGCAACUCCUGGGGAAGACAGAGACCAGUGAAGAGGGAGCGAGUGACACGAAGGAAUCUGAGCACAAAGCAACCGGUCGUUUUAGGGCAGUUAUACUUUGAUUCAGAGAGAGGAUGUGUGUGAUUCAGUGAAAAAACACAAUGAUCAGACACUAGGGUGCCAAAUCUCAGGUGUUUUAGUGGAGGCUACUUGACCAUUUACAUUAUAACUUUCUUGUUUUUUUUUUUUUGUUGUUGUUUUUUUCUUUAGCUUUACCUUUAUGCAUUAUUAUUGCAAAACCACUCAUUUUUUAUUUACUUUAUACUUUCAAACAGUACCAUCGCAAGGGCUGUGCCAAGUGUGUGACCGCACCGGGCCUCGUGCCAAAGUAAAGUGACAGCUGACUUGAUGAUGUAAAGCCAAUAGUUAAAGUUUAUGUCUUUGUUCUUCGAAACAAUAUAAUACUAUAAUAGUUUAAAGACAUAACUAAAAGUGAGACUAUGUUUAUCGUGACUGAAUUAUUCUGUUUUUUAAAAUGUAUCAUGCAGUAACUUAGGCUGCAUUUACACUGCAAGUCUUAAUGCACAGAUCUGAUCUUUUGACCAUAUCCGAUUUUUUUGGCCAGCGUGUUUACAUACACUUUAGACACGACUGGUAUCCGAUAUUUGUGUUUACAUUAAUUCUCACCCAAAGUGAUUGUCGUUGAUAGUUUUACAUGCACAUGGUAGACACUCGCAUUUUGAAUGGCUGUGCUAUUAAAAUUAUUUAGAUAUUUCAUGACGGUGGUCAUGAUUACCUGUCAGAAUAGAUAAGUUAAAAAAAUACUAUAGUAAUUCAUAGUAAAUAAAUACCAUAGUGUUUUUGAACAAUACUAUAGUAAAGUACUUGAAUUACUUUGUUCUGGUAUUUCUAUAGUUGCUGUGAUAAUAUAAUAACUAUAGUAAUAUAAACAAAUUACUCUAACCAAUACUGUACUAAGUUUUCCAAAACUAUAGGUCAGUGGCGAGCGGUGACUUUUUUAACCGCUGGGUGGUGCGUCAUGUAAAAAAUGUGGCCUUUGAAUGGUUUCAUAGGGAAAUUCUAAAACAUUUAACGUGAAAAAUGUUUAACGUGGCUUAGACAGUAUAGACCAAACUAAGUAAACAUCAUUCUAAUAAACCAUAUUAUGUACAGCAAAGCUGAUGAGCCAAGAAUAUGAAUGCAAUUUGUUUAAUUACAGGUUGUUUUCCUCCCAUAGAAAACCGUUAUAAAGAAAAAGCUUUUAACAUUGCUUAAUGUAGCCUACUAAGUGAUAUUAAAAGAUCAAAUUCUGCACAAACCAUUUUUUCUGUAUAUUAUGCAUUAUUAGUAUAGUGUUUACUAAGUUUGGUCUUUUAAUGUCAUUGUCUUAAUAAUACAUUAAGCCACGUUAAAAGCGUUGUCUUAAUGGGUGGAAAAUGUUUAAUUUAACAUGUUGCGUUCAUAUUCUGGGCUCAUCUCAUCACAGUUUGUGCGAGAAACCGAACAGUAUUUAUAUAUAUUUUUUUACCUCUAAUACACCAGUAUGUCCAACUGUCUUGAGCAUCCGGUGCUUGAGAUGUGUACGCGCUCUGGCGUAGUUUAAAGGAUUAGUUCACUUUCAAACAACAUUUUCAUGAUAAUUUACUCACCCCCAUGUCAUCCAAGAUGUUCAUGUCUUUCUUUCUUCAGUCG